UGAAAGACAAUGAAAAGGGUAAGUAUUAAGCAGUUUGAACUAUCAGCGAGUUAAGGGCAGUGAAAGCUUAGCAGACAAAUGUUUAAGAAAAACACCUUGGAGUCUCGAACUGAAAUGAUCGAUUAAGCCAGUAAAAAUUUGAUCAAAGUAGGUAUAGACGUAACCAAUACGUUAAAAUUGGUGAGUAUAAUUGUACUCAAUAAAGUCGGCUUUUUCAUUAAAGCAAGAUAGGUGGUACCACGGAAGAUAACCUUUCGUCCUUUUU
rnacentral:ncRNA from 1 species